rnacentral:rRNA from 1 species
CCUACGUGAGGCAGCAGUGGGGAAUAUUGGACAAUGGGGGGAACCCUGAUCCAGCGACGCCGCGUGAGUGAAGAAGUAUUUCGGUAUGUAAAGCUCUAUCAGCAGGGAAGAAAGAAAUGAAGGUACCUGACUAAGAAGCCCCGGCUAACUACGGGCCAGCAGCCGCGGUAAUACGUAGGGGGCAAGCGUUAUCCGGAUUUACUGGGUGUAAAGGGAGCGUAGACGGCGAUGCAAGUCUGAAGUGAAAGGCGGGGGCCCAACCUCCGGACUGCUUUGGAAACUGUAUGGCUGGAGUGCAGGAGAGGUAAGUGGAAUUCCUAGUGUAGCGGUGAAAUGCGUAGAUAUUAGGAGGAACACCAGUGGCGAAGGCGGCUUACUGGACUGUAACUGACGUUGAGGCUCGAAAGCGUGGGGAGCAAACAGGAUUAGAUACCCCUGUAGUC